GGCGGCGUGCCUAACACAUGCAAGUCGAACGAGAAAGUGGAGCAAUCCAUGAGUAAAGUGGCGACCGGGUGAGUAACACGUGACUAACCUGCCCUAGAGUGGGGGAUAACCUCGGGAAACCGGGGCUAAUACCGCAUAACAUCACGAGGGGAAGAUCCUUGUGAUCAAAGGAGCAAUUCGCUCAAGGAGGGGGUCGCGGCUGAUUAGUUAGUUGGUGAGGUAACGGCUCACCAAGACUUAGAUCAGUAGCCGGCCUGAGAGGGCGCACGGCCACACUGGAACUGAAACACGGUCCAGACUCCUACGGGAGGCAGCAGUGGGGAAUUUUGCGCAAUGGGGGAAACCCUGACGCAGCAACGCCGCGUGGAGGAUGAAGUCCCUUGGGAUGUAAACUCCUUUCGAUCGGGACGAUUAUGACGGUACCGGAAGAAGAAGCACCGGCUAACUCUGUGCCAGCAGCCGCGGUAAUACAGAGGGUGCAAGCGUUGUUCGGAAUUAUUGGGCGUAAAGGGCGCGUANGCGGUGCGGUAAGACUGUGGUGAAAUCUCCGGGCUCAACUCGGAAAUUGGCGCGGUGACUG
rnacentral:rRNA from 1 species